rnacentral:lncRNA from 1 species
CAGACCCGCUGGGGGGCGGGGGCGGGGGCGAGGGCUAUUCCUGGUGCGGUGACUGACGCAGGCAAGGCGCGGCCACCACAUCUCUCCGCCCCCGACUCACCUGCUCCCUGCCUCAGUGAUCUCGGCGGAGAAAUGGGGGAGAGCCCACUCAUUCCACCCCGCUAACCCCCAGGUGCUACCGGAGGAAGCUGGGGUCCUAGGGUGGGGUAUUUUGGUGCCCACAAUGAUCCCUCCGCGCCUCGGAGGCAGCAGGGAUGACCACGGAGCUGUGUCUGGGAGGAAGAGCCCCUUGGCCUCGGUUCUCCACUGUCAAUGGCAUCCAAGCCAUUCCCCUUUCCCUUUGUCUCCAAAAGACAUGACCCCUCCCAGCUCUCCCUGUUUUAUUCCAAUGGAAACGACGGGGAGCUUUGGGGGAACAACUUGGAGGAUAGGCCUUUUUGAGGGUCUAGUUUGGGCCUGGUGAGAGUACGGGUCCCUGGCAUUGUCACCUAGAGACUCCAGGAAAAGGGGGUCUGUCACUGGGUCCCCACCCAGUUACCUCUGCAUGAGCUGUGGAACAGGCAUCUCUCCUCUCCUGUCGGGUGGGGUGGUUCCCAGCAGAGUCCUCUCAGGGGUCCCAGGGCCAUGGAGAAUGUGACACACCGGGAUGGCCUAGUCCAAGUGUGCUCUGGCACAACCAGGGGAUCAUGUCCAGGAGCUACAGCUGAAGAAUGUUCCCCGCACCCCAGGCCUUUGUGCCUGCUGGACCACCCUGGUGGCGUGCCUUUUCCCUGAUUUCUACCUGUGCUUCAAAACCCAACCAAGACCCAUCUCUUCUAUUCCUGUCUCCUCUCCCCAGACUGAAAUGACAUUAGAGGCAAGGCCCAAAUCUUUUCCCUCUAUCCUCAGACUAGGUGCUCCCAAGAGCAGAUCUGAGACUGCGUGUCUCAUAGGUGGGCACACAGCAGACCCUGGCUGCAGGCUGAGAACUCAGCAAGUCCCAAUAAAGCAGGAGCCAGUGGCUGGAAGGAGCCAGCCUGACUGCUCACUGCAAAGUGGAGAAGCUGGAAUGGGUUUGCCCGGGAACACAGGAGGAGGGGAGAAGGCCCUCCACCAUGUAUUCAGCCCUUACUAUAAGCCAGACUCAGCCACACUUCACAUCUUUGUCUCUCUGCAAGAUUGGCAUUGCUGUUCCUACUGUACAGAUGAGAAGACCGAGGCUCUGGGAGGGCUGGUGACUUGCUCAAGUUCACUCUGUGCACGAGUUAGAGCUGGGCUUUGAAGCUCUGUGUGUAUCUAAUGUUAGUCCUGCUCUCCUUUCACUCUGAGAGGCUGAGGAGGCAGGAGGUGGAGCUGGGGCAAGGACCAAGGGUCCCCCAGGCACAGAAAGGAGAGGGUGGCACACACAGGCCUGCCUACAUGCCUGCUCUAUGCUGGUCCUAUCCACUGGCAUCCCAGCAGCUCGCAGGGUUUUACGAUGAUGAUUAUUUCUGAAGGCACUUGAAAUUAAUGACGGCUCUAAAAUGGCUGGGACAGCAGAGUCAUUGCUGAGACCUCUAAUUAGCAAGAAAAACGGAGACCAGGAGCCUUGGAGGUGAGUGGGGGUUGGGCAGCUGGCAUUGGGCAUGGAGCAGGGCUGGGGGAGUGAGGUGGAGCCAGCAUCCAGCUGGGGGGCCCUGUGGAGCUGGGUGCUCAGGUGGACCCCGUGUUCUACUUUAUGCCACAAGUUAACUUGUUAACUUGCUGUGUGACCUUGAGGGGGUCACAGCCACUCCCUGGGCCAAAGUUUCCCCAGCUAUGCAAUGAGAGGUUGCCCUGGGGGGGUCUCUAAGCUCAGGGCUCCUUGGACGACCCUGAUCCCCUAAAAGGCUGAAGUCCAGAAGGUGGGGGCCAUGUAGCCUCCAGAAGCCACCACAGAGACCCACAGCCCUCCAUGAUGGGGUUGCUGAGGCCGCUGUGUAAUGAAGUACUAGGCUAGAGUGAAGUGGAUUGAGAAGUGGCAGAAAAUCCAUAGGUCAGGCCCUGCGCUGGUGCACUGUGGAGGCCAGACAGGGAUGGAGGCACCUGAGGGGGCUAGCGGGACAGUCCCUUCUUGGAGGUGGUCCUGGAGAUGUGGCUCGGUAUAGAGCCUUCCUGCCCCCUCCUGACCCCCUCCUCAAGAGUCAGAGCAGACUUGGGGACACCAGCUUCCCAUGUAAGCAUGUCACAAAGGGUCAGGCCUGAGUAUCUUAAAGGAAAGUCCCUCAUCCAGUGCUGCCCAAGUCUGGAUCCUCCACAUCCUGCAUGGGGCAGCCAACAUGGGGAAGGCACAGGGGCUCACCUGGAGGGGUUCUCUCCCCACAGUGGCUGGCCCAAGUUGGUGUGGAGAUAUGCAGGUUCCCAGGGAACAUCCAUGGUGGGUGCAGGCUGAGGCCAAGACUCAAGGGCAAGGGUGUGUGGGAGGCCCACCCCCGUUAACUGGGGCAUCCUCUUCCCUGGCAUUUACUUCAUGCUUGUCUUGUCAUCGAUAGCUUUCUCAGCCCCUCAAAUCCUCUCCCCUUCCAGUUCAGGUCCCUGUGUGUCCCCCUCCUUCCAAAAACCUGCUGAGAACCUCACCUUCCCCUCGGGCGGGGCUGUAUGUCCCUGGACACCUUCCUGAGUCUCAGUUUCCUCCUCUGUAAGAUAAUGUCGGUUUCACGGGGUGGUGUGAGGGUCUCAUGGCUUAACGUGUGGCUGGUAUCUACCUGAUGCUGAUGUAGUAGGAGCUUGAUAAAUGCAGGUAUUUUUAGGUGAUCAUACUGACUGUCAUGGUCACUGGCUGCCUCCUGACCCCUUCUCUUUAAAGUCAGGGCUCUAGCCUAAGGUCCCUUUCAGCAUUCCCACUCGGAGACACCUGGACCACAUUCUCUGUCGCCUGAGAAUCAGGAACACCCUGAGGGCUUGGAUUCAUCUUGUCUCCUCCAGUUUCCACAGCCAGCCCACAGCCCUGAUUCCAGAGGGUCUGAUGUCUACAAAUUACACCUGACUGAAGUCUCUUAAUCAGGAAGGCCCAGUAGAUUCCCCUAGAGAGGAGGGCCAGGGCAUGGGGGCAGGGACACUCUUGAAUCCAUACUUCUUACUCCCUCUCACCAUGGGGCACCCAUGCCUCCAAGGAAAUGUUUCAGCACCAGUGACAGGUCACUUGUCUAGAAGCAAGAAACACAGCUGCA